AGCUAUGCCCACCAGGCUCAUACUGCCGGAGAAAAGGCGCGCCAUGCUCCAGCAGCAUGAAUUGUCAGCCGGAGGGACAGUGCUCGUCGUGUGGAGCAGCGAUGUGCUGGAAUUAUUGCCGUUUCGGGAAUGUAGCAGACCCCAACGGGUGCCCAACAUGUCUUUGUAAAACGCCACAGCCGCCUCUACCCGCUGGAGGAGCCGCCAUUUCUCCACAAAGUAGGGGGAACUCCGGG